CAAUGACAGAUUUUUGAUUUUUGACCCGCCUCACCUUUUUUGCCGAAACUACCAAAUCUCUCUCUUGUGUGAAUCCUUUCGGAUGAUGAACGAUUAAGUUUAUCCUUCGAAGGAUGCUGCCCCAUUUUUUAUAUUCAAAAUUUAAUUCGAACCAUAAUUUUAUUUAAAAAUAUCACAGAUGGUCCAGUCUUACAAAUCAUCCUCGAAUAGAUGUCUUCUUUUAGAAUAGUGAAGGUGACCAUGAAAAAUCAUUUAACUGUAAAAUUCGAGACGAAGCAGUCACGAACUGAUUUUUUACCCCAUCUUAAGAUUCCGUUGGUGUAUCUAUUCUACAGUACCAAAAAAAGGUUGUUGAAUUGAAAUUUUAUAGCGACAAUUCCUCCAGAAAUAAA